CCUACGGGAGGCAGCAGUGGGGAAUCUUGCACAAUGGGCGAAAGCCUGAUGCAGCGACGCCGCGUGCGGGAUGAAGGCCCUAUGGGUUGUAAACCGCUUUCAGCAGGGAAGAGGCCGCAAGGUGACGGUACCUGCAGAAGAAGCCCCGGCUAACUACGUGCCAGCAGCCGCGGUAAUACGUAGGGGGCAAGCGUUAUCCGGAUUCAUUGGGCGUAAAGCGCUCGUAGGCGGCUUGUUAGGUCGGGAGUCAAAUCCCGGGGCUCAACCCCGGCACGCUUCCGAUACCGGCAGGCUUGAGUUUGGUAGGGGAAAGUGGAAUUCCAAGUGUAGCGGUGGAAUGCGCAGAUAUUUGGAAGAACACCAGUGGCGAAGGCGGCUUUCUGGGCCAUAACUGACGCUGAGGAGCGAAAGCUAGGGGAGCAAACAGGAUUAGAUACCCUGGUAGUCCUAGCCGUAAACGAUGGACACUAGGUGUGGGGGAAUAUUUCUUCCGUGCCGCA
rnacentral:rRNA from 1 species